UACACAUACCUGCUGACGAGUCCCGACCGAGAAGGUCGGGCGCAAGAGGGAACACCGGUGCCCCUGAAUGGGAAGGCCGGGGCUGUGCCCGCAACUGUGAGCAACGUCAGGCAACCCGCGACGAACGCGUCGUUCACUGGCCUCCGGGCCGGGAAGAACACGCGGGAGCGGGCGACGCCGGCCGGGAAGAUCGCCCGGCACGUUGCAAGCCAGGAGACCUGCUCGUCGCAUCCUGCCAUC
rnacentral:ncRNA from 2 species